UGUUUCCUUCCAGUCAACGAGGUACAUGUACCUCAUCAACCGGAAGGAAACCCUUCCAAUUGAUGAGGUACAUCUACCUCAUCGACCGGAAGGAAACC
rnacentral:miRNA from 1 species